CCCCCGAUGGUGUAGUUGGUUCAUCACGUCUGACUGUAAUGGAAUACAUUAAAUCAGAAGGUCACCGGCUCGACUCCGGUUCGGGGGA
rnacentral:tRNA from 1 species